rnacentral:rRNA from 1 species
UACGAAGGGGGCUAGCGUUGUUCGGAAUGACUGGGCGUAAAGCGCACGUAGGCGGAUUGGUCAGUUGGGGGUGAAAUCCCGGGGCUCAACCUCGGAACUGCCUCCAAUACUGCCAAUCUUGAGUUCGGGAGAGGUGAGUGGAAUUCCUAGUGUAGAGGUGAAAUUCGUAGAGAUUAGGAAGAACACCAGUGGCGAAGGCGGCUCACUGGCCCGAUACUGACGAUGAGGUGCGAAAGAGUGGGGAGCAAACAGG